UACGUAGGGACCAAGCGUUGUUCGGAUUUACUGGGCGUAAAGGGCGCGUAGGCGGCAAUUCAAGUCAUCUGUGAAAUCUCCGGGCUUAACUCGGAAAGGUCAACUGAUACUGUGCGACUAGAGUGCAGAAGGGGCAACUGGAAUUCUCGGUGUAGCGGUGAAAUGCGUAGAUAUCGAGAGGAACACCUGCGGCGAAGGCGGGUUGCUGGGCUGACACUGACGCUGAUGCGCGAAAGCCAGGGGAGCGAACGGG
rnacentral:rRNA from 1 species